rnacentral:rRNA from 1 species
GAUCCUAGCUCAGGACGAAUGCUGGCGGCGUGGAUGAGGCAUGCAAGUCGAAUGGGUUUAGACCCAUGGCAGACGAGGUAGUAACACGUAGGUACGUACCCCAAAGUCAGGAAUAAUCUGUCGAAAGGCAGGAUAAUACUUGAUAUCUCGCAAGAGGAAAGAUUUAUCGCUUUGGGAACGGCCUGCGACGUAUCAGCUAGUUGGUGAGGUAAUGGCUCACCAAGGCUACGACGCGUAGGGGAGCUGAGAGGCUGACCCCCACCGAUGGGACUGCGACACGGCCCAUACUCCUACGGGAGGCUGCAGUCGAGAAUCUUCCACAAUGGGCGAAAGCCUGAUGGAGCGACGCCGCGUGAAGGAUGAAGUCCUUAGGGACGUAAACUUCUUUUAUGAGGGAGGAAAUUUUGACGUUACCUCAUGAAUAAGGGGCUCCUAACUCCGUGCCAGCAGGAGCGGUAAUACAGAGGCCCCGAGCAUUAUCCGGAUUUACUGGGCGUAAAGGGUGUGUAGGUGGCAUAGUUAGUCUUUCGUUAAAUCUCAGGGCUUAACCCUGGAAUCGCGAAGGAAACGGCUAUGCUCGAGGAUACGAGAGGUUAAGGGAACUCAUGGUGUAGGGGUGAAAUCCGUUGAUAUCAUGGGGAACACCAAAUGCGAAGGCACUUAACUGGCGUAUUCCUGACACUGAAACACGAAAGCGUGGGUAGCGAAUGGGAUUAGAUACCCCAGUAGUCCACGCCCUAAACGUUGCCCGCUAGCUAUAGGGAGUAUCGACCCUCUCUGUGGCGAAGCUAACGCGUUAAGCGGGCCGCCUGGGAAGUACGAUCGCAAGAUUAAAACUCAAAGGAAUAGACGGGGGCUCGCACAAGCGGUGGAUCAUGAGGCUUAAUUCGUCGCUAAGCGAGGAACCUUACCAAGGCUAGAAACCAUACUGCACGCCCUAUGAAAGUAGGGAAGCCUUCGAGGGUGUAUGGCAGGUGAUGCAUGGCCGUCGUCAGUUCGUGGCUUGAGUUGUUCCCUUAAGUGGGGAAACGAACGCAACCCUCGUUGCCUGUUAUAUUUGUCAGGCGAGACUGCUCCCUCACGGGAGAGGAAGGUGGGGAUGACGCCAGGUCCGCAUGUCCCUUGAUGCCUUGGGCUGCACUCGUGAUACAAUGGGUACUACAACGGGACGCAAUACCGCGAGGUGGAGCAAAUCCUUAUAAAAGUACCCCCAGUUCGGAUUGGAGGCUGCAAUUCGCCUCCAUGAAGUCGGAAUCGCUAGUAAUCCCGGAUCAGCAACGCCGGGGUGAAUACGUUCCCGAGCCUUGUACUCACCGCCCGUCAAGUCAAGGGAGCCGGGAGUGCCCGAAAUCCUACCUCGUGUAGGCCUACGGUAAGCUCG